UACAGAGGUCUCAAGCGUUGUUCGGAUUCAUUGGGCGUAAAGGGUGUGUAGGUGGCGCGCUAAGUCGGGUGUGAAAUUUCGGAGCUUAACUCCGAAACUGCAUUCGAUACUGGCGUGCUUGAGGACUGGAGAGGAGACUGGAAUUCCAGGUGUAGCGGUGGAAUGCGUAGAUAUCUGGAGGAACACCGGUGGCGAAGGCGGCGUGCUGGGCUGCAACUGACACUGAGGAACGAAAGCGAGGGGAGCAAACGGG
rnacentral:rRNA from 1 species